rnacentral:hammerhead_ribozyme from 1 species
AGCCAGCCGACGAGUCCCAAAUAGGACGAAACGCGCGUCCUGGAU